rnacentral:rRNA from 1 species
AGCUGUAGGCGGUUGUCGCGUUGCGUGAAGUCGGGGCUCACUCCGGAUUGCGGUGGGUACGGGACUAGAGUGAUGUAGGGGAGACUGGAAUUCCUGGUGUAGCCGGUGAAAAUGCGCAGAUAUCAGGAGGAACACCGAUGGCGAAAGGCAGGUCUUGGGCAUUAACUGACGCUUGAGGAGCGAAAGCAUGGGGAGCGAACCAGGAUUAGAUACCCUGGUAGUCCAUGCCGUAACGUUGGGCACUAGGUGUGGGGGACAUUCCACGUUUUCCGCGCCGUAGCUAACGCAUUAAGUGCCCCGCCUGGGGAGUACGGCCGCAAGGCUAAAACUCAAAGGAAUUGACGGGGGCCCGCACAAGCGGCGGAGCAUGCGGAUUAAUUUGAUGCAACGCGAAGAACCUUACCAAGGCUUGACAUGAACCGGUAAUACCUGGAGACAGGUGCCCCGCUUGCGGUCGGUUUACAGGUGGUGCAUGAGUUGUCGUCAGCUCGUGUCGUGAGAUGUUGGGUUAAGUCCCGCAACGAGCGCAACCCUCGUUCUAUGUUGCCAGCACGUGAUGGUGGGGACUUAUAGGAGACUGCCGGGGUCAACUCGGAGGAAGGUGGGGACGACGUCAAAUCAUCAUGCCCCUUAUGUCUUGGGCUUCACGCAUGCUACAAUGGCCGGUACAAAGGGUUGCGAUACUGUGAGGUGGAGCUAAUCCCAAAAAGCCGGUCUCAGUUCGGAUUGGGGUCUGCAACUCGACCCCAUGAAGUCGGAGUCGCUAGUAAUCGCAGAUCAGCAACGCUGCGGUGAAUACGU